UACGUAGGGUGCAAGCGUUAAUCGGAAUUACUGGGCGUAAAGGGAGCGUAGGCGGAUAGUUUAGUCAGAGGUGAAAGCCCCAGGGCUCAACCUUGGAAUUGCCUUUGAUACUGGCUAUCUUGAGUACGGAAGAGGUAUGUGGAACUCCGAGUGUAGAGGUGAAAUUCGUAGAUAUUCGGAAGAACACCAGUGGCGAAGGCGACAUACUGGUCCGUUACUGACGCUGAGGCUCGAAAGCGUGGGGAGCAAACAGG
rnacentral:rRNA from 1 species